GUCCACGCUGUAAACGAUGCGCACUAGGUUCACGGGCCUCUGACGGUGCGUGGACCGAAACUAAAGCGAUAAGUGCGCCGCCUGGGGAGUACGGCCGCAAGGCUAAAACUCAAAGGAAUUGACGGGGGCUCACACAAGCGGUGGAGGAUGUGGCUUAAUUCGAGGCAACGCGAAGAACCUGACCUGGGUUUGACAUGUACGGAUUAGCUCCAUGAAAGUGGAGUGACGCGGCUUGCCGUGGAACGUACACAGGUGCUGCAUGGCUGUCGU
rnacentral:rRNA from 1 species